CACAUUACAGGCAAAAUUAAUCCCUCUUCUCUGUAUUCUCAUCAUUCAUUGAAAUUUUUCUUGCUUCACUUUUUUGGAAGUUCUUUAUAAGUAGUUUUUGCAUUAUAAUUAAUGGUUACAAAAUAUUUUUUCUAUUGUAAGACCUUGAUUUUGUCUUAGUCACUGAAAUGGUUUGGCUCUGUGUCCCCAGCCAAAUCUCAUCUUAAAUUGUACUCCCAUAGUUCCCAUGUGUUGUGGGAGGGACCCAGUGGGAGAUAAUCUGAAUCAUGGGGGUGGUGUCCCCCAUACUGUUCUCGUGGUAGUGAAUAAGUCUCAUGAGAUCUUAUGGUUUUAUCAGGGGUUUCCGCUUUUGCAUCUUUCUCAUUUUCUCUUGCUGCCACGAUGUGCCUUUCACCUCCCAAUAUGAUUCUGAGUCCUCCCCAGCCAUGUGAAAACAUAAGUCCAAUUAAACUUUUUAUACCCAGUCUCAGGUAUGUAUUUAUCAGCAGUGUGAAAACAGACUAAUACAGUAAAUUGGUACCAGUAGAGUAGGGUGCUGCUGAAAAGAAACCUGAAAAUAUAGAAGUGACUUUGGAACUGGGUAACAGGCAGAGGUUGGAACCAUUUGGAGGACUCAGAAGACAGGAAAACAUGGGAAAGUUUGGAACUUCCUAGAGACUUCAGUGGCUUUGAUCAAAAGCCUGAUAGUUAUAUAGACUAUAAGAUCUAGGCUGAAGUAAUCUCAGAUGAAGAUGAGGAACUUGUUGGGAACUGGACCAAAGGUGACUCUUGUUAUGUUUUAAAAAAAAGGCUGGUGGGAUUUUUCUCCUGCUCUAGAGAUUUAUGGAACUUUGAUCUUGAGAGAGAUGAUUUAGGGUAUCGGGUGGAAGAAAUUUCUAAGGAGCAAAGCAUUCAAGAGGUGACUUGGGUGCAGUUAAAGGCAUUCAGUUUUAUAAGAAAAGCAGAGCAUAAAAGUUCAGAAAAUUUGCAGCCUGACAAUGUGACAGAAAAGAAAAACCCAUCUUCUAAGUAGAUAUUCAAGCCAGCUGCAGAAAUGUGCAUAAGUAACAAGGAGCCAAAUGGUAAUCCCCAAGACAAUGGGGAAAAUGUCUCUAGGGCAUGUCAGAGGUCUUCACAGCAGCCCCUCCCAUCACAGGCCUGUGGGGGCCUAGGAGAAAAUGAUUUCAUGAGCCAGGCCCAGGGUCUCUGUGCUAUGCUGUGUGCAGCCUAAGGACUUGAUGCCCUGCCCCACAGCUGCUCCAGCUGUGGCUGAAAGGGGCCAACAUAGAGCUCAGGCCAUGGCUUCAGAGGAUGCAAGUGCCAAGCUUUGGCAGCUUCCACAUGGUGUUGAGCCUACAAAGGCACAGAAGUCAAGAACUGGGGUCUGGAAACCUCUGCCUAGAUUUCAAAAGAUGUUUGAAAAUGCCUGGAUGCCCAGGCAGAAGUUUGCUUCAGGGGCAGGGCCCUGAUGGAGAACCUCUGCUAGGGCAGUGCAGAAGGGAAAUGUGGAGUCAGAGUCCCCACACAGCAUCCCUACUGGGACACCCCCUAGUAGAGCUGUGAGAAGAGAGCUACCAUCCUCCAGCACCCAGAAAGGUAGGUCCGCUGGCAGCUUGCAUAGUGCACCUGGAAAAGACGCAGACACUCAAUGCCAGCCUGUGAAAGCAGCUGGGAGGGAAGCUGUACCCUGCAAAGCCAUGGGGGCUUCCCAAGACCAUGGGAACCCACCUCUUGCAUCAGUAUGACCUGGAUGUGAGACUUGGAGUUAAAGGAGAUCAUUUUGGAGCUUUAAAAUUUGACUGCUCCACUGGGUUUUAGAUUUGCAUGUGCCCUGUAACCCCAUUGUUUUGGCCAAAUUCUCCCAUUUGGAAGGGCUAUAUUUACCAAAUACCUGUACCCCCAUUGUCUCUAGGAAGUAGCUAGCUUUUGAUUUUACAGGCUCAUAGGUGGAAGGGACUUGCCUUGUCCCAGAUGAGACUUUGAACUGUGGACUUUUGGGUUAAUGGUGAAAUAAGACUUUGGGGGACUGUUGGGAAAGCAUGAUUGGUUUCGAAAUGUGAGAACAUGAGAUUUGGAGGUGCCAGGGGAAGAAUAAUACGGUUUGGCCUGUGUCCCCACCCAAAUCUCAUCUUGAAUUGUACUCCCAUAAUUCUGUAUUGUGGGAGGGACCUGGUGGAAGAUCUUUUGAAUCAUGGGAGCAGUUUUGCCCAUAUUGUUUUCAUGGUAGUGAAUAAGUGUCACGAGAUCUGAUGGUUUUAUCAGGGGUUUCUGCUUUUGCAUCUUCCCCAUUUUCUCUUGCUCCCACCAUGUAAGAAGUGCCUUUUGCUUCCCACCAUGAUUCUGAGGCCUCCCCAGCCAUGUGGAACUGUAAGUCCAAUUACACUUCUUUUUCUACCCAGUCCAGGUAUAUCUUUGUCAGCAGCAUGAAAAUGGACUAAUACAGUCACAAACACAUAGAACUUAGCAAUUGAUGAAACUUACACAUACAGGUAGGUGUCCAUUUUUCUUUUAAAUUAAUUAAGAUGUAAAACUUAAAAAGAAAACCAAGCCGAUAGAAAAAUUAUAAGUCUCAAUGUUGAAGGAAAGAAGUCAGAUAAAAGAGGGUAAAACAAAUCUUAAAGAAACAGGGAAAUGAUGCAGUGGAGGAGAGGAAAGUUGAGUAAACUCACCAAAAAUACCAUCAUUCUUCUUAGCAAAGGAAGGAGAGUAGCUGGCAUGACACAGAAUAACUGAGAUUUAAAGAGCAAGAGACUAACCAGUUAGAACAGUGAUAAAAGCAUAUUAUGAAGUAAAAAAGGGAGAAACAAUAGAUGGUGGUAGAGGACUUAGGGUUAUGUCAUAACUAGCUCAAAAUAUGAAUAUUAUUUUAUAAUUCUGCCUUUUGUAAUAAUCCAUUUUGACAGUCCAGCCACUAUUGUUAGAGAAAGAUUAUCAGAAUAUUGCAAUGAAGAAUUCAAUGUCUUAAACUACUACCAAUAGAACCAAAGCUCUCCAUCGAAUUUCUUGACAGAGUUAUGAGAACCAAGUAAAAUAUAUCUGCAGACUUAAUCCCGCUCACAGGCAACUGGUGUGUCACCUUUACUUUGGAGCCAUUCAAUAUAUAUAAAAAUUAUAAAGAAGGACUUUGUUCCCUCCCCAUCAUCUCCUCCAAUGAACAUCAUUGCAAAUCCAGAAAUGGAGCCAGUGAAGGCUGGGAAAUCUCACUAUUCUUCGAAGUUUAUUAAGCAUAUUCAUUUGUUUAUGUCAUAGUGAUAUACUCAUUAUUCUAAAACUAAUGUGAUUAGCCCUCAACAAUUAUGUGUCAAUAGAAGUGAUACCAAAAUUAAAAAUUGAUGAGUUAAAAAAAAAACAAGAAUGCAGUUGAUUUGUCUGAUUUUCAUAGGACCUCUGACCAAUGAAGGUUGAAAACAAUGGGUAUGCAUGAUAAAGAAAAGAAGCUUUAAUAACCAGAAUAGAUUCACUGAGAAUAAUUCAAGUUAAGUAAACUUAUUUUCUUAUUUUAUAGGUUUCUAGACUGAUAAACUAGAGAAAUGAACUAUUUUUCCCAGGUCUCUGGUUCAUUCCUACUUGUUUGGUAUGGGAUAAUAGUGAAAUGGUGAAGACUAAAGGAAAACAAGUUUAGGAGAAAGAAUACAUUAAAUUCAUGGUAUCUUGAGAUAUACCUGUAGUGAUGUGAGGUAGAGAGUUGAAUACAAAAAUGUGAAGAUUAAAAGUAUUGGUUGGAGAAAUAUAUUUUGAAAAGGAUGGAGAGGCAGGAGAAACAAAGUAAAUGGAGAGGUAGAAAACAAUUGGAUCACGAGGUCUCUUAGAAUUUGGAAAAGAAAUGUUUCAAGAUCAUGGUAGUAAACUGCAUUGUUGAGUUCUGCUAGGGAAUUUAGUAAGGUCAGGAAAGAAACGUUUCCAUUAAGUUUGGAAACACGGUAUUUCUCUAAUGACUUAUUAUUAUGUCUUCAAUGUAAUUUUUCUCUUAUUUGUAACUUCAGUUUCUCAGUUGUUACCUGAAAUAAGUACAGAUGAAGUUUGUCAAAAGUAAUGUACAUCUCUUUUUCUUAUAGAAUAUCACUCGUUUGCCUGAGGAAAAUUCACAUCUUAAUUACUUUGAGGAAAUCUCCAAGUGCACUGACAUUAUCAAUAGCACGUCAGAAUAGGAUCUAUUUUAAGGCACUGAGAAAGAAAAUACAUCAAUUUGAAAAACUGAAGCAAGAACAUCAAAUUUAUAGUGAAGCUUGGGUGAAAGAAAUGGUGAAAUUGUCGAUCCUUUAUGAAAAGCUUAUGAGAACAAUGCCCCACAUAAAUCAGCAGUUUACAAAAGGAUAACACAUUUUAAGAAGGGACAGUAAUUUGGAAGAUGAAGCCUGCAGCAGCAGACCAUCCCAAUUUUCCAGGAAAAAAAAAAUUAACCUUUUUCAUGCCAUCAUUGAAGAGGACUGAUUAUUAACAGCAGAAACAAGAGCCAGCACUACAAAUAUCUUGAUUGGUUCAGCUUAUGCAACUCUAAAAAAUUAAAUUUGAGCAAACUUUCUACUCAAUAAAUGCCAAAACUGCUGUGCCCA
ensembl:lncRNA novel transcript